rnacentral:tRNA from 1 species
GGGCCCGUGGCGCAGUCUGGAGCUGCGGACAGUAGCGCGCCGGCCUUGCAAGCCGGAGGUCGCGGGUUCAAACCACAAUGUGGAAGUCCCGCCGGGUCCACCA